CUUGUCCAACUUGUGAUGGAAAAUUGCAGUGCUUCUUGGGUGUUCCUGGUCUGUAGUGAUCAGUAUCAAUGAAAAGUGGUCCAAGGAAGCAACAGCAGUGAACUAGUGACAGCAACUUCCAGGAACCGACCUCACCAACCAGCUGAGGAAUACACAUUUUUCCUGCACUACUAGUGGUGUAUGAUGUCCAGUAUAGAAGACAAGAAAACUAACACAAACAGCUGUUAAAGACACUGUGAAAGCUGAUGGACAACUUACUGGACCAA